AUCUUCGCUAGACUUUAUGACUCACUUUAAUGGUAUUAUGUAAUAUUUAUUUUUUUAAUGCAAAUCUGACGCGUUAUUUUUGUUUGAGAGCAACAGACUAUGGUGAUUAUUCAUAAGAUAAUUUUUAUAGUAUAAAAAAAAUUAGUAAAGAGCGAGAAAGAUAUAAUUAUUAAAUUGCGCACGUGCAGUAUGGAAAUUCCACAAAAUACAUCACACAAAACGUGUCACUACCCUCUUAUCCUUUGGUACAUUUUCUGUUAGAA
rnacentral:misc_RNA from 1 species